GAUGAACGCUGGCGGCGUGCCUAAUACAUGCAAGUCGAGCGAACAGAUGAUGAGCUUGCUCCUCUGACGUUAGCGGCGGACGGGUGAGUAACACGUGGAUAACCUACCUAUAAGACUGGGAUAACUUCGGGAAACCGGAGCUAAUACCGGAUAAUAUAUUGAACCGCAUUGUUCAAUAGUGAAAGACGGUGUUGCUGUCACUUAUAGAUGGAUCCGCGCCGCAUUAGCUAGUUGUUAAGGUAACGGCUUACCAAGGCAACGAUGCGUAGCCGACCUGAGAGGGUGAUCGGCCACACUGGAACUGAGACACGGUCCAGACUCCUACGGGAGGCAGCAGUAGGGAAUCUUCCGCAAAGGUCGAAAGCCUGACGGAGCAGCGCCGCGUGAGUGAUGAAGGUCUUCGGAUCGUAAAACUCUGUUAUUAGGGAAGAACAAAUGUGUAAGUAACUAUGCACGUCUUGACGGUACCUAAUCAGAAAGCCACGGCUAACUACGUG
rnacentral:rRNA from 1 species